UCCCUGGUGGUCUAGUGGUUAGGAUUUAGUGCUUUCACCACUACAACCAGGGUUCAAUCCCUGGCCUCGGAA
rfam:Sus scrofa chromosome 6.